UACGGGGGGGGCAAGCGUUGUCCGGAUUUAUUGGGCGUAAAGGGCUCGUAGGCGGUUUGUCGCGUCGGGAGUGAAAACCUUGGGCUUAACUCAGGGCUUGCUUUCGAUACGGGCAGACUAGAGGUAUGCAGGGGAGAACGGAAUUCCUGGUGUAGCGGUGAAAUGCGCAGAUAUCAGGAGGAACACCGGUGGCGAAGGCGGUUCUCUGGGCAUGAUCUGACGCUGAGGAGCGAAAGUGUGGGGAGCGAACAGG
rnacentral:rRNA from 1 species